GACAGCAGUAGCCGCGGUAGUGCGUGGGUGGCAAGCGUUGUCCGGAAUUAUUGGGCGUAAAGGGAGCGCAGGCGGUUUAGUAAGUCUGAAGUUAGAGGCAUUGGCUCAACCAAUGUAUGCUUUGGAAACUGUUAGACUUGAGUGCAGAAGGGGAGAGUGGAAUUCCAUGUGUAGCGGUGAAAUGCGUAGAUAUUAGGAAGAACACCAGUGGCGAAGGCGACUUUCUGGACGAAAACUGACGCUGAGGCGCGAAAGCCAGGGGAGCGAACGGGAUUAGAUACCCCUGUAGUCCCUGUCUCUUUACAC
rnacentral:rRNA from 1 species